GCCGAACAGCUAAUCUGGAAAAGUGACGGGCGUAUGAGAUCUGUGAGGCAUUUGUGUGUGUGUGUGUGCGUGUGUGUGCAGUAGGGGGUUUUGUUUAGAAAUCUAACAGGGAGAUUAAGUCAGGUUGGUUGAUCAGCAAUGCAUUUGUUUAGCUCCAGACUGGGCAGAUGAGAGGCUGUCUAUGUCAGAUCUGUCAUGAGCAAUUGCAAAUGUUUGGAACUUGUCAUGUGUGGCGUACACAAGACAUGCCGGCUGAGCCUUUAGAAUGUGUUCAAAGAAAACAAGCGGACAAGGCGGACCGGCACUGAUUGGCGGAGAUGGAACUCCGAGACGCGAAUAAACAACAAGCCAUGGAGGAGAACGACCGCAGCAAUGUUGACAUUAUCCGCAAACAAGGCAAUUUCAUUCGAGAGGAGAGAAGAACAUGGACCACUGCAGCAAACUGGAGACUGUGGAGUAUAACACUGCAGUGACCAGAUCUAAGAGACGACAGCAGGAGGAGAAUAUGGCCAGUGUGAAAACGGGAAGCUGCAGCAAAAUGGACACUGUGGAGUAGAAAACUACAGCAAAAGGUAAUGCUAAUGUUGCCACAAUUUUUGGGGUCAUUUCCAGCGUUGUAACCUAGAAUGUUAUAACGUUGCAACAUUUUGAGGAGACUUGGGAAAGAAAGAAAACGAGCCAAUGCAAAAAAGUGGAGACUCUGGAGUCGAACGCUGCAGCGGCGAAGGGCUAUAACACCUCUAAUGUUAUCAUGUGUGCUUACUUUUGUCAUUUCUAUAUAAAUCUAACAAUGAUGCUGCAAUUUGUUUCUGAUGGGAAAUUAAGGGCAGCUGCAGCAAAGUGGAGACUGUGGACCAGAACACCACAAUGGGCAAGUGUCAUUUGUGUGUAUGGCACUGCUACUGAGAAAGUGGAUGACGCACUGAACCAAUACGGCGUAUGGUUUAAAAAUUCAGGUCUUUGAACUUUUGAUGGGCUCCUUGAACCUUCA